rnacentral:rRNA from 1 species
AGGGUUUGAUCCUGGCUCAGAAUCAACGCUGGCGGCGUGCCUAACACAUGCAAGUCGAGCGGGGUAGCAAUACCUAGCGGCAGACGGGUGCGUAACAUGUGGGAAUCUGCCUUUUGGUUCGGAACAACACGGGGAAACCUGUGCUAAUACCGGAUAAGUCCUUACGGAGAAAGUUUUAAUGCCAAAAGAUGAGCCCGCAUUUGAUUAGCUAGUUGGUGAGGUAAGAGCUCACCAAGGCGAUAAUCAAUAGCUGAUUUGAGAGGAUGAUCAGCCACACUGGGACUGAGAUACGGCCCAGACUCCUACGGGAGGCAGCAGUGGGGAAUCUUGCACAAUGGGCGAAAGCCUGAUGCAGCGAUGCCGCGUGAGUGAAGAAGGCCUUUGGGUUGUAAAGCUCUUUUGUCGGGAAAGAUAAUGACUGUACCCGAAGAAUAAGGUCCGGCUAACUUCGUGCCAGCAGCCGCGGUAAUACGAAGGGACCUAGCGUAGUUCGGAAUUACUGGGCUUAAAGAGUUCGUAGGUGGUUGAAAAAGUUAGUGGUGAAAUCCCAGAGCUUAACUCUGGAACUGCCAUCAAAACUUUUCAGCUAGAGUAUGAUAGAGGAAAGCAGAAUUUCUAGUGUAGAGGUGAAAUUCGUAGAUAUUAGAAAGAAUACCAAUUGCGAAGGCAGCUUUCUGGAUCAUUACUGACACUGAGGAACGAAAGCAUGGGUAGCGAAGAGGAUUAGAUACCCUCGUAGUCCAUGCCGUAAACGAUGUGUGUUAGACGUUGGAAAUUUAUUUUCAGUGUCGCAGGGAAACCGAUAAACACACCGCCUGGGGAGUACGACCGCAAGGUUAAAACUCAAAUGAAUUGACGGGGACCCGCACAAGUAGUGGAGCAUGUGGUUUAAUUCGAAGAUACGCGCAGAACCUUACCAACACUUGACAUGUUCGUCGCGACUCUAAGAGAUUAGAGUUUUCGGUUCGGCCGGACGAAACACAGGUGCUGCAUGGCUGUCGUCAGCUCGUGUCGUGAGAUGUUGGGUUAAGUCCCGCAACGAGCGCAACCCUCACUUUUAGUUGCCAUCAUUAAGUUGGGCACUCUGAAAGAACUGCCAGUGAUAAGCUGGAGGAAGGUGGGGAUGACGUCAAGUCCUCAUGGCCCUUACGUGUUGGGCUACACACGUGCUACAAUGGUAUCUACAACAGGAAGCAAGACUGCGAAGUUAAGCAAAUCCCUAAAAGAUACCUCAGUUCGGAUUGCACUCUGCAACUCGAGUGCAUGAAGCUGGAAUUACUAGUAAUCGUGGAUCAGCGUGCCACGGUGAAUGCGUUCCCGGGUCUUGUACACACCGCCCGUCACACCAUGGGAGUUGGUUCUACCUUAAGGCAAGGUUUCAAACCCUUGACCACGGUAUAGUCAGCGACUGGGGUGAAGUCGUAACAAGGUAACC